UGGGGAAUCUUGGACAAUGGGCGAAAGCCUGAUGCAGCAACGCCGCGUGCGGGAAGACAGCCCUAGGGUUGUAAACCGCUUUCAGCAGGGGAAGAAACUGACGGUACCUGCAGAAGAAGAUGCGGCCAACUACGUGCCAGCAGCCGCGGUGACACGUAGGCAUCAAGCGUUAUCCGGAUUUAUUGGGCGUAAAGAGCUCGUAGGCGGUUCGGUAAGUCGGGUGUGAAACUCUGGGCUCAACCCAGAGAGGCCACUCGAUACUGCUGUGACUAGAGUGCGGUAGGGGAGCGGGGAAUUCCUGGUGUAGCGGUGAAUGCGCAGAUAUCAGGAGGAACACCAGUGGCGAAGGCGCCGCUCUGGGCCGUAACUGACGCUGAGGAGCG
rnacentral:rRNA from 1 species